GCCACCAUAAAUCAGCACAGAAUGCAAAAUUCAUUUAAAUUAUCACCUUAGGGCCAACAUAGGAAUGAUAAAGCGUUAUGUUCCAAUCCUUAUCAUGGAUUUGGUGAAAAUUCUCUCUUUAUACAUCAGUGAAGUGAUCACAAGGGAGUUAGGACUUACAGACCCUGAAAGUUUUUCUCUUUCCUCUAGAGAAGACUGGAAAGCAAAAUCAAAAGCAACUCAUGGUUGAGUGUGUUGUCAGCUGCCUGGGUCAGUGCAGAGGAGAGAUGUGGCUACAUGGUGUUUUCUGGCUACAAAGGUGGGACUCUGGGCUCCUUCAGCUGGUGCUUGUAGCUCUACAGGGCUGCAAACCCUGGUCUGGUCCCUGCUCUGUUGGCCAAGAUAGUGGCAGUCACAGAUGCUUCCCAGUCCAGCCCCAGACAUCUCACAUCUCAGCCCUGCUUUACAGGAAUCCCCUGUGGCUGUGUGAUUGCUGCCACCCUCAUACAGUUGUAUAAUUCCCUCUUGUGAAUUAAAAAUAAUAAUAGCUAUUGUUGUGUUUUUUGUUCUUAUGGUUAUUAAUUUCUUGCUCAAAGAGUUCUUUGGCCUUCCUAUGGAGAUGGCCAGCAACAAUGGCAAGCAGAAACCUCGUUUUGUUAGAACACUGUUAGAAUACUGCCAGAUGUCCCCUAAAGCCAGAUCUGAGACCACCAGUUUGUUCCAGAGAGGAUAUGCUCAAUAACUAUCAGAUGAUUGUGACUAAUCGGUUGGUGGAGCUGAAUUAGCAGUCUAGGAGUGAAAGGAUUUAUUUUUUUGUUUGCUUUUUUAAUCUCAACACGAAUUCUCAGAGCCAGAGUUGUCCCAUUUUUGCCCCUCCAUCACGCUGUGGUCAUGCUUAUUCAUCAGAAUGGUUUGAAAUUCCUUUUUCUGCUGCUUUGAGACCAGAAGCCUCUUUGUUCCUUAAUAUUUUCCUCUCCUUGGUGUAUUUUAGAAUGGUUCCCUAACUCUGUCUUGUUAAACCUAAUUGGACAGGACCUUAAUCAGGGUGACUACAUCACAUGUCAUGUUUUCGCCCUCUCUGACCAGUCCUGCAGCCACUUCCAGGAGCUAUCCUUCUGGAGAAAAUGUUUCUUAGGAAGUAUAAAUGUUUGGAAAACAGAUUAGCUCCAAAUGUGACUGGCCACUCACCCAUAAAUCAUGACCGGCCUACUUUCCCAUGCUUUGUUUCUUGUACCAGUCAAAGGAAAGCUAAAAACAAAAUAGAUUAAAUGUUUUCACAGCGUAGCAUCAAAGGCUAUAAUUUUGUCCAUUCACGUAAUUUAAACAAGAUCAGACUUACUGAGUACUUGGAAGAGACCCACUGUAAAUUCCCAGGAAACCUAAGUAUUUCAGGAACGAGCGGUGUCUGUGCAAAGUGGGCAGUCAGUGCUGAAGCGAUGCCACGGUGUGGUUUUCAGGGAAAAUCGAGAAAAAAUUAAUCAGCCUGAUGAGCUCCGAUCAAAACAAGGGAAUAUUUUGGAUAUAAGAUUUAUGGUUUUUGGUUAAAAGCGUGAGUCAUUCACUACAGCAAAGAGCUUUGAAGGGGAAAAUGGUGCUUUCCAAUCACCGAGUAUUGUUUGUAUACAGUUUUAUUUUACUACUGGCUAUUCUUUUGACUGAAAUGCAAAGGUUCUUGAUCUCCAGAUACUUUUCAAAGCAUUAAGAACGUAGCUGGAGGAAUAUACAAUGUGAGCUAAAUAUCCAGAGAAAACCAGCCUAUUUUUCUGCUUGCAAAUUGUCACAGCAAAACAUGGCUGCUCCAAGUGUGGAAGCUCGUGAGUCGUAACACUUUGCUCAUCUGCAGUGCUAACUAGGAAGAUGAGAAACUCUCAACUAAAAAAAAAAUAGAGAAGGCUGUGGAGUGGAGGGCUUCCCCAGACCUUUCUGAGGAUGUCCAAAGCCAGCAGCGAUAAGCUGCCCACCUCCCUACCGAGACCUUUGGGUCUGCUCAGUGCUGCUGGGGCUGCAGUAAGAACCGCAGGCCUGUGGCUGUGUUCAAUUAGUGUGGGAGCAGGACAGAGAGCUGCAAGCUCAUGUCCAACAGGCUCAGCAACUCCAAUAUGUUACAUCCGCUGCACUUGGAGCCCUGGUGAGAUCCUACGUCACUCAGAAGGAAAAAUAUUCACAUUUGGAUCAUCCAGAUGCAAACCCAGGAGCUUUUCAGUGAAAUUUUGUCUGAAGACAUUGAAUUGCACUCAUUUAUGUCUUCUAAUAGCUGCCCAACCACAUUUCAUAUGUAUUCAGCCUUGAGGUGGGUCCGCUGAAGCUCCUUUGCACUGCUUGUGAAAGCAUCAACCGCUCCUUAAAGGCUAAAUAAAUACAUAAUUGCUUUUCAGCAGUAUAACUUUCCCCAAAACAAUUCUUCAAUAAUUUCACAGAUAAACCCAUUGCCAUUUAAACUGUGCCUAAAACAUGAGCUUUUAUUCAGGGUGAAAUCCUGGCCCCAGUGAAAUCAAUGGGAGUUUUGCCAUUGACUUCAGUGGGGCCAAGAUUUCUCCCUUGAUGCACAUGAUAUAUUUUUCCUGACAUUUAGUGUGAUGAAACAGCCCUGGUUCUGAUUAGCCUGGGGUAUAAAUAGUAUCAGUCAACUGGAGCAAAAUUCAAAUCAAACCUCAGGCAUCUCUGCUGAUGCCGCUUUGUUUCUGAGUGCUGCCUUCUGGAGAAGAGACCCAAGUGGCCAUUUGGAGGCACGGACCUCAUCUGAAUCCUUCUGAUGGGUUGCAUUUAACCAUAAAUCAGCGCAUGGGCAGCAAAGGGUUAGUAAUGACGGAGGCAUCUAUUCAUAUGUCUUGUGACAUACAUUUUUCCAGUGUGAAUUCUUCAUUAAAAUAUCCUUGAUGUCUCACAGCUUGUUACCAAAUUGGGCCUUGACUCGUAAGAUAAUUUAGAUGUGUCUAAAAUAUGCUUCUCAGAAAAGCUGCCUCCACAUUUAUGAGAACUACACACAAUCGUGUUAGGGAGAAAUCUGCCAGCUGUUUUGACCAGUUUAACAUGUUAAUAUCAUACGAAUGAGCACACAAAUAUAUUUUAACCUGUUGCUUUAUGCUUGAGUCUACAGUGCUGUAGGAGGGAGCAACACAACUUCUGGGACCUUGCAAUAAAUUGCACUGCAUUGCAAAGCAGAGAGAAAAACAUCUAAUCUUUCCCUAUAACAUGGAUUUUUUUUUUACCCAAGAGGGAAAAAAAAAAAACCUGAGAUGCUGUUGCUGGAAAGUAAGAACUAAAGGUGAGACAGCAGCAAUGAUGUGCUGUGGGGCUGUCCUCCUCAUCCACUACUUCCCCACACUACCCAGCCCCAUCACACAUGUGGGGCUGUGCUACGUCUGAGAGACACGAGAGAAAAUAAGGACCUGUUCUCUGCCUGCUAUUCAGACAAAGCUCCCACUGGCAUCUCCGAACCCUUAAAUAGUACAGCAUGUUGCAAGUGGGAUUGUUUAUUGUGUUCAGUCGGAGCCGGCUACAGCCAGCUCUCACUUCUGACUCAGUGAUACAACAGCUCGCCCUCCCAUCGUCCCACACCACCACGCUCACUGCACCCCGUGCUGUUCCCACUUAAGCUCUGGGAUACAUGGAGCCCCAGCACCUUCUUGCUCUCCAUCUUCAGGAGCAGCAAGAUCCGAGGGGUGGCAAGCUAGAGACAUCCCAAAGGAUGGCACCAGGCUUAGCAAAGCAUUCGUACAAGGGGCUGCUUGGGACCAGCCUGUGCUGCACCUUAACCUAACUACCAGCACAGCCAAACCAUGGAGCAGCUCCUGAGUACUUAGGGCUGCAGGUAUUGUAUCUUGACCUGUUGUAGUGCAUCCAGAGGAGGGCCACAGAAAUGACACAAGGGAUGGAAUACCCCCCUGUGAGGACAGGCAGAGAGAGCUGGAGCUGUGCAGCCUGGAGAAGAGAAGGCUCCAGGCAGACCUGAGAGUGGCCUGUCAGUAUCUAGAAGGGGUUAUAAGAAGGAGUGGGACAGACUCUUUGGCAGAGUCUGCUGUGAUAGGACAAGGGAGAAAGGUUUCAAACUAAAAGAGGAGAGAUUUAGAUUGGUGAUAAGGAUGAAGUUUUUUGCAGUUUACUGUAGUGAGGCACUGGCACAGGUUGUACAGAGAGGUGGUGGAUGCCCUGUCCCUGCAGAAACCCAAGGUCAGGCUGGACAGGGCUCUGAACAACCGACUGAGCUGUAAAUGUCCCUGUUCAUUGCAGGGAGCUGGACCAGACUCAGGUCCAAUUCAAAUGAUUUUAUGAUUCCGUGAUUCUAUUGCUGCCAUUUAUUGGCUGUGCACACUCCCCUCCCUGCCCUAUCUGCACACAGCGCUUGGCAGUGCAGCAUGCAGCAGGUUGUGCUCGUGUUUCUGUGGAGUUAAAAUUCAUCUGGUAUCUUUCUCACUGAGUGCAGGUAGAUACACACUCUUGAGUGAAUGGGAUAUGCUCCACUUGUGAAGUGUAGAAGCAGGUCAAUAGACAACUUUCAAAAGGAACCAUUUAGGAUAAUUAAGCGGCACAUACACACCAGCAAGAGUUUAUUUUGUAUUGGAAGGCAUGUGGUUAGGGAAACAAUAGCAGUUUUUUCCCUGGAGAAUGUUAAUUAAAUUGAACACCCUGGAAAACUGAACUAUUCUUACCACAAAUCUAUAAAUCAAACUGUUCUGUUUGCUUAAUAUAAUGCUUUGCUAUUCUAGUCACACUGAAGUGGGCCAGCCGCACCAUGCCAAGAUAUUUCCAUGAUGAGCACAUUAGGAGCACUGAUUGACUAUAGAUCUUCUGGAUCUGAGGCCAAACCCGUAUCUCAUUUACUCCAGCAUAACUAAGAUGAAAAUCUGGCCCACGCUGUUCAGAUUAGUACAUAAAUAACAUGAAAGGUUUGCGAGCUCGGCAGCAGAUGUAUUGUGUACUUGUUGGUUGUACUGCAGGAGUCCCUGGCAGCUUUAGGAAUGGGCCAGGACUCCCCUGCACCGGGUGUUGUACAGAGGAACAAAGUUUGCCCUCAUGGAGAACCUGUGGGCAGAAAUCUACCUGCCCUGCUGCCCAUCUUCAUGCACAAGAAGUGUGCCCUAGAGGUACCAUGUAGAAGACACUCAGCUUGUUUCCCUCCCAGAGGGAAUGGGCAGAGAGGGGGCUCAGUCCUCCUGCAAUACCCCAGGUUGGAGGACCUUCCCUAUUUCCAUUACACAGAGCUAUCCCACUUGGAAGUCGUUUUAAGUGCAGUCUGCCAAACUGCCACCUGCAUCUCACAUAGAUGCCAAACAGACUUAAAAUAAUAAUAAUAAUAAAAUAAAACAAAAUAAAGAAAUAAGAUGGAGGGCACAGGGAUGAGCAAGUCUCUGCCUUUUCAGGCACUGGGGAUUGCCAUGUGCAGAGCACAGAGCCCCACCAGUGCUCACUGGGGUGCAGCACACACCAGCAGUGAAUCCUUAAAUGGAAAUGGUCCAAGAGAUGCAUCAUGGUUAAAGGUUUCUGUGGUGCUCAGAAGAUUUUCUGGGCCAUGUAUGGAUCAGAGUGCGUAUCAGUUGGCAGUGCAAGGAGUGAAGUGAUCUGGACACAAACACCAUAAUCAUCCCAGGGCCAGAUCUGGGAGGGUUUGACUCAUGGGCUCCAUUCUUAUAUUAGAUUAAUAACUUGGUGGUGGCAAUGGAUAGGCAGAAAAAAAAAAACAACAGCGUGGUAUUUGUGUCACCCUAAAGGCUAAGAAAUAUGCCAGUGUCAAACAAGGGCCAUGCGUAUGUGCACAACUUCAUCACAGCUCUGCCACUGAUCUGCAUGUGGAAGGCAGCACAGGAGUUAGAACUAGAUGACCUUUGACAUCCCUUCCAAACCAAGCCAUACUAUGAUUCUAUGAUGAAACUACCAUUUUACAGCAUGUAGAUUUGCCAGUCCCUUGUAUAUAACCCAAGCAUGCUGCAUGCACCCAUUGCAAUGGUUAAGCUGCUACUGGGAUGCAGUUAUGUUUUGUGAGAAAGAAGAUGGCUCUUCUGCUUUAAGAUAAUGUCAUGAGAUGAACAUAGCUGGGACUUUCCACAACAUGUAAUUUAGCCUAAGAGAGUUAUUUUUAAUUCUGUCAUGUAUUAAUGCUUUGGGCUUUCUCGCAAGUAUGUUAUAUUAGGGGAGAUGCCUGGUAUAAACCACGGCUGCUCAGCCAGCCAUAAGUCACAGCACAGGAUAAAAAAUGAGCACUUCUUUCACGCUCAUGUUUGACCCCUCCACUAUUGUAUUGUCCCAACUAACGAGCCGAACAGUUCUGCUGAUUUGUUAUAUGUAGCAAAUAUAGAAGCAACGAAACCCAUCUGUGUAAUUUACUCAUUGAUUUGGACUUGCAUCCAAGCGUGUUCUGAGUAGAUCAACUGUGUGCACGUGUGGGAGAGAACAGCUCAUCAGCAAUAAGAAAAGUCUGAAACUUACCGAUGUGAAGGAUUUAUGGGCAAUAACAAAAUACCCCAGGUCCUUGUGUGUGGGACCCAGAUAUGGGGUCUGUCUCUGCCCAGUGAGGGCCACUGAUUGGAGCCAUAUGUUAGUAGUAAGAUCUCAAGGUCAUUUUCUAGGGAGGUUUCCCAAUGAUUAUCAUAGAACGGUUGGGUUGGAAGGGACCUUAAUGACAGUGUAGUUCCAACCCACUGCUGUGGUCUGGCUGCCCCUCAGUAGAUCAGCUGCCCAGAGCCCCAUCCAACCUGGCCUUGGGCACCUCCAGGGAUGGGGCAUCCGCAGCUGCUCUGUUAGCCAAAACUUCACAGUUAAAAAGAAAAAGAAAAAGAUGGAAAACUGCAAUAAAAAGAAGUACAUUUGAGAAUGCUGCACGUCUUCUGACAUUUAAAAAAAAAAAAAAAAAAAAAAAGGAAAGAGAAAUACAGCAUGAUGGUUCUGGUUCCAUGGAUCCCACCUGAAUUCCACUUUCGGUAGAACAAGGUCGGUCUGGGGGCGGUCGUGGCUCCUAUCCUGAGCUCCUCACAGCACGGCAGGCUCAGAGCCACCUGUUAAAAAUCCCUGACAGCGUUUUCCUUCCAGCCACAGCAGGGCCUAUCUCCUCUCCCAGACGCAAUGUAACCUUGGGAGGGAAUUGUUUUGGAGCGAUCGUCCUCCGCCUGUGCGAGUUCCCUCCGCACACCUCCCAGACAUCGAAAUGCGGGACGGGGCCCUGCGCGGGGCCUCCCACCCAAACACCGCGCUUUGCUGCCGGUGGGACUUUUCCCCCCCGCUCUGUACCUUUUAUUUCUUUCCCCUCCUUUCCUGGCUGAGCGCUGGUGGCAGCAGAUUAACAGGUCAGCGGACUGGGGCCGCCAAUUGCUGCCAAUUACCUCCUCUCCGCUCGUUGCGCUGCAGCCUAAUGGCACCACUUAACGUGCGCUGCUCUCCCCCCACCCCGCCGGGUGACACCCAAUAAAGCCGUGAUUGAUGGAGAGGUGGGAGCGGGGCUCAUCGCUUCGGAGCCCGUAAGUCCUCUCCCCGUGUGGGUUCCCGGGGGCUGCGGGUCCGGCAGCGAUCACGGCGAGAAACAUCUGAGUCAACACGGCGUCUUUUACUUGCAGAACUGACAGCCCGUCCACUCGAACUGGUUUAAAUUAGUCGACGGCACAUUCUUUUCCUCCUCGGUGUUUUGCUUUACGCCCCUCCACCUCUCCUUUUUUUUUUUUAAUUUAAUUUCAUUUUUAUUAUUUUUUUCUUAAUAGGAAUAUAUAAUUGCUGUAAUUGAGCCGUCUGAGUGCGAAACGGCGCUGAGCGGCCGUUGGCUGAGCGGGGACACGGGACGGGACGGACACCGGUGCCCCCCGGGGGGUGGGGGGGGGUCGUCAGGGUGGGCCCCGCCCCCCGGAGGUGUGCGGAUGAGGUCAUGGAAAUCAAUGGCACACGUGUAGAGAGCCGGAGCCCUGCGUUUGCGGCAGGGAUGAUUAAACGGAGCGGCUCGGGAGAGCUCCCGUAUGAAUAUUUCAUGCUAACUGAUGCAAUCCCCCCGAAGGUACAAGAGCCUUGCUUAAUUAAACUGGUGUCGGCGUCGCCUCGUGCUCCUCGUCCAAUCGAGACGCGGGCAGGAGCAGCCCCAGUGUUAUCCCCGUACCCGAAAAGGAGCGACCCCGUAUCCUUCUGGUCCCGUCCCGCGGAGGCGGCACCCGGCGGGGCUGCGGGGAGCGGAGGGGUCGGUGUCGGUGUCUCCUCGGCUCCGGGUUUGCCCCACUCCCUGGGCGGAAAGAAACCACCACGAAGAGCCUUUUCCCCACGUUCCGGCGGCGCUGCCCCCGGCUCCGCUCCGGCUCUGCGCACCGACAGACGGGGCCGGGGGGACACGCGGGGCUGAGCCGUUCCUGCGGCGGCGGAGGGGCUCCGGCACACGGGGACAGCCCGGUGCUCCCAGCGGGGUCCUCGGAACCGCUCGUAUUUACGGCAGAAAAUCGAUAAGGGAAGAAAACCGAACCCAACCUUUGGGGACAUUGCCACAAUGGUGAAAAGAAAGAGGAUUUCCGAAAGCCCUUCACUCUCCCAAAGGCAAAUCGGCGUGAAUUUCCCAGCCGGCCCGUGCUGAACUCGCGACCCUUCUCCAUGCCUGUGUGACAACGUCUGUGUGACAUCUUCAUUAAUUUCCACACUGCAACCUUGUGCUUUCCUUUCACACGUGGCAUUUCCUUUCACUGCCUCUGUUUCUUUCCUUUUCUCUCUUUCCUUUUAUUUCUUUCUCUCUUUUUUUCUGUUUCAUUCUUCUCUUUCUUCUAUUUCUUUCUCUUUCCCUCCCUUUCUUUCUUCUGUUUCUCCCUACGCCUUUAUCACACAUUUCUUCUGUCUCUUUUCUCUCUUCUUCUGCUCUCUUUCUGUCAUCUUUUCUAUUUCUCUCUCUUCCUUAUAGAUCAGCGCUGCAGCCCCGAUCUGACAUUAUUUCUCACUCCCCGAGAAGUAAAACGCCAUAACGUUGUUCUUAUGAAAAGCCCCUUUCGCGUUUUGCCUGAACAGCCUUUCCGAACCCCGUCUUCCUCUUUCGUUCGCUUUUUUGUCACCCCGAGAAGUGCGGUGUGGCAGCUCAGGGCAGGCAGUCACCGGGACCAGGGGCUGACACAGGAGGGAGCGCCUGGCCAAAGGCUCUGAGCGUCACAUCCGUGUCCCACUAUCCCAUCACCUGCCACCCCAUCACAUCUCGUCCCUAACGCAUCUCAUCCCGAGCGCACGUUGCCAAAUAAAAUAGCCUCGAUCGGCUGGGUUACAAAUGAGACCACGGGAGGGUUAUCCGGGAAUCUCUCACUCUCGCAGCCCACAGGAAUGCACUUUCUUCCCUGAUAGCGUCUUUAUCGAAAGAUAAAACAACCGUGGCUGCACCCGCUGCCCGGCCCUAUGCGGAGAGCCGCACUAUGCGAGCUCAGCACAACCAUCACCGGGUCGUUCCGUUACUGACACAGCGAUGGAUCGAACCCACAGAAAACGGGAAUUCGGUCACUCCUCACCUCGGGGAGGAUCGGAGCGGCCGCUUACCGACGCUCGGGACGUGACAGCGGAGUUACAUGUUACCUACACGGCGUGUUCGGGGCCGCGUCCCCGGUACUCAUUCAGUCAGCACUCAGUCGAGGGCUGAAAUUGUUUUGGAUUCUUCCUAUGUGGUCUGGUUGUUUUGUUUGGCUUUUUUUUUUUUUUUCCUUUAACUGAACUAUUUAUACCCUCCUGAUAUAAUAACAAUAACAAUGACAAUAAUAAAGAUAGUGAUAAUGAUGAUAAGAGUGAAUCCGAGCGCUGGGGCUGCCCGGGGUUGGCUGAGCCACUGCUGAUACCCCGCUCUGACAAAGGCGUCUCGAGUGGGGCUGACAGCGGCCGCGUCCCCCCCCGUGGGGUUCCGGGCGGAUUUCCCGCAGGUGCCGAAGGGCUGUUGGAGGUAUUGGAGGUGUGCGGGAGGCAGAGACCGGCGCUCCCCAUCCCGCUCCCGGUGCGUGGCCGGGCUGUAAAUGGAGAUUGGUUCACACAGCCAUGAAGACAGCACCAAGGGUCCGGCUUAACAGCAAAGAAUGCUUGAGCCGGGUUCCUCCUUGCAGUCCCCCAUCCCAUUCCCUAAGCACGCCGAGCUCCGGACCUCCGCCGUCAGCCCUCCACCCUCCCCUCCACCUUCAGGGCUACUUUUGCUCCUCUCGCCCCGUUGCAGAACCUCCCCCGAACCCAAAGCCGCUCCCCGGGGGCAGAACCCGUCCUCUCCCCGUGGACCCAUUGGUUUGGGAGCCCCCUCCCCAGGGUGGCACAGACAUCGGAUCGCGAGUGGAGCAUCGCGGAGGGAACCCCACAUCAGUGGGACCAGAGCCUUUCUACCUGAGGUGGUGUCCCCUCCCACCUUCUAAAAUGAUGUAACAGUGCGGACCGCUUCUCCGAGAGCCCCUGUGCGUCCCGACCGUCCGUACCGCGGCCACCCCUCAUUAUUUUGGCGUCCCGGGGACAGCCUCGGUCCAUCAUCCGUCGGUGCGGCCCUGGGGAAAGGAGAGGGAUUAACGCGGAGGGCACCGAGCCGAGCAUCGGUGGAAAAGAGCGGGUUUUGUUUUAGGACAUCAAAAAGGAGGGACAGAAAGGGAUGGACACCACCUUCCAACACACUUUCCUUGGCGGGUGACAAAAACUCCUGGCGUGAGCUGAAUGCGUAAUUAGCCCAACUGAAAUUCCCUAUCUCAUUCGAUAUUUGGUGCUCAGCAGAAGCUAGCCAUCGUAAAUAAUAUACAAAGUAAGAAACCUAAUCCAGCAGGCUAGAAUGUUUAAUUCAUCAUUAUGCGAGCUAAUUGGAAGAGUCUGUUCUCUCAUUUCAAGGAUCAGUUUCAGACGCAGGAGCGGAGCGGGCCGGAUCGGGUUCUCCUGACGUCAGACCGGGCCGCUCCGUGCCCAGCGCCGCUAUAAAGCCGCUCCCGCAGCGCCCGAACCCCGC
ensembl:lncRNA